ACUCUGGUGGCUCAGUGGUAGAGAAUCUGCCUGCAACGCAGGAGAUGCGGGUUCAAUCCCUGGGUA
rfam:Ovis aries breed Texel chromosome 14, whole genome shotgun sequence.